rnacentral:lncRNA from 1 species
GGUUUGAAGACUUAAUUGAUGUGCGUGUAGAAAAUAUACAAAAACAAAAAAAAACGUGGUGAAAAGUUUGCAAAACCAUAAAAGGGAACAUAACCCAAAUAAAAAAACAAUAUAAAAGUGUUGUGGCUGCAAGACGAAACAAAAAAACCAACCCCUGGAUAAGGUACGCCAAGAGAAAAAAAAUGAAAAAGUGACCAUAUUACAUAAUUCCAUGUAUGUACUGUACAUAGGUUUUGAUCCACGUGUGGCAGGAAAUUGCUGACCUGGCCUGACCCUCGGUCUCGGAGGGGGUGUCCGCUCCAGUACCACGAUCAUCCGUCCCUCUUUUGGUGCCACCGGACCUUGCCUGCAGGCGAAAAAACGGAUGGACUUGGCGAUCGGGACCGAGUUGUUUAUAUACAUAUAUCUCACUCGCAACUAUUAAACCAUCUAUUAUAUUAUAUCACCGCGCCUUGUGUAAAGAAAUGUUGGUGCUUGCAUAUGUAGGGUGUGGAAAAAUUAGCUCAGCGGUCAUUGCCCUUGCGGCUGACCAUACACCUAUGCGCACUUAAAUAGACCCACCUGACCGUAUGUCACCUAUUCUCUCCUUCUCUCAGGUUAUUAAAAUUGUUCGAUGCCGACAUUCUAAAAGCCACUUAAGGGAAGAAAAGUAAAUCACAAAAAUCUAGAAAAGAGAAUUUAAUGGAAAAUCAUGGAUAGAAGAAGAAAAAUAGAAAAGAAAAUUGUUCAAUAAUAUUAAAUAUUCCUAGACAUUAACUUAGAAAUAGAAGAAGAAAAACAUGAAAUUUAUGCGUAGUUAAUAAUAGAUUCUAAAGGGUGCAUCAUCGGUCUCAUUGUGUCCAUGGAAGGGUAUUGGUAAAAUACCUCUUCAUAACGCUUCUUUGUUGUUUUGCAUAUUUCUACAUUUCUUUAACAGUUAGAACGUGAAAUUGGGCCCAACGACACCAACAGCUGUUUAAAAGUCUGUAAGUAGACACACAUAUACACACAUACACUCCGGGUCAGGAGAAUAGCGUCUACACAGUGAGACAUGCAUGCUUAACCAUAAAUAAAAUGGAUUAUUAUUAACUAUAAUCACUACAAUUAUGCCAUUUAAUUCAUUUAAUUAAUUAAUUCUUACUUUAUAUUUUGAUUAUAUUAUUUUUAUUCAUAUUUGAUCAUUCUCUUGAAUUCCUAUGUAUUAAAUUAGUCCCACAUAUAUAAUACACAUGCAGUAAAAAUAGUUUUAAGGGUUAGGGUAGAAAUAAUGGGGGUUANAUCAUCGGUCUCAUUGUGUCCAUGGAAGGGUAUUGGUAAAAUACCUCUUCAUAACGCUUCUUUGUUGUUUUGCAUAUUUCUACAUUUCUUUAACAGUUAGAACGUGAAAUUGGGCCCAACGACACCAACAGCUGUUUAAAAGUCUGUAAGUAGACACACAUAUACACACAUACACUCCGGGUCAGGAGAAUAGCGUCUAAAUUAGUCCCACAUAUAUAAUACACAUGCAGUAAAAAUAGUUUUAAGGGUUAGGGUAGAAAUAAUGGGGGUUACAAACAACCUGAAGUCAUACAAGUCAAAGUAAAAUUAUAACGAUUUAACAUGAAUUUCUAAUCUGAUUUUUGGGAGGGGUUCCUAAGGCACAUAGGCAGCAGCGGCAGGUUUUGGGUAGAACCAUAAUGGCAUAUUCUUAUGUUAUUCUACAUGGAGGGUGGGUCAAGAGGGAAGAGCACAUCCACCUUGCUCUUCACAGUAGGUAGUGGACCUUAAGUUCCGUCCGGGUUUGUAAUUCCGAUCCCAGUUCCC